GCUUGUGAUAAUAACUUGCCGCAAAAUGAUGAUUGCUUCUACUAUACUGACGAAAAAAGUGGUAAAACAUUUGGAUAUAACCUAACAGACAUGGCCAAACGGCUCACCGUGUUGGACGGUGUAGAAGAAGAAGAUGACGAGCCUAAAUUCGAACCAA